GCCGCACUAGGCUGCGGUGCGUUCUGUGUACUGCAUGCGUUCCAUCCUUUCAACUCCUGCGUUGUUUACUGUGCGGUGGUACAAACGGAAGUACACACACAGACUCCAACUAGCUAGCUUUUAGCUAGUUGAAGAGCGAAGCACAUGUGCGUCAAGUACAGAAAAUACAGGCAAGACAUCCAGUAAAAUAAAAAGCAUAUGCAUGUGGUGGACAUCAGGCAUUAAUCACGUUUAAGAGUGUUGGCUCAACAAGACAAUUCUGUUUACACUGCCCUGCUUAGAGGGGUGCAACUGUCAGGCAAGUGUUGUGCACUACCCGCAGAGGUAGCGGUCGAAACGUGACAAGUUUGCAUGUUUACAUUGUGUUAUAUGUGUGUAGCCGCGGGUAUUUUUGCGAAAAGCCUAGUAAGUGUUAAGACCCUCAAAAGUCCUCGGCGCAGCCCAAGAGGAAUCCUAUUCAGUACAGUGGGAGGAAGAUCUAAAUCAUCAGGCUCCAUAGUGAGGUUAUGCUGGGUUCAUAGAAGACUGGAGCUGAAGAGAGGGUCAGCUGUGUGUGACCUCACCACAGAUAAGUCUUUACUUGGAGACGCCGAACACACGGCGGGUGACUCUUGGACUGUGACGUAAGCCUCGCCCUUCUGUCUCCAAGUCUACGCUUUAUAAUACCGUUCUAAUGAAAAGGGAAUCUCACACCAAAUCCUCCUCAAUAACACUUAUUUGAAAGACUGUGAAAAGAUCAACACUCUUAGGCUACUCUUAAAUAUAUUUUCAUCUCCUUGAUGAUUAUGCACUGAUAACUUUCCCAUUUUUCUAUCAUCGAUUUUGGAGUCUAAGUCCAAUCAUAUUAUGCCUAUUUUGUUUAUUUUGUUACCUAUCUGUGUUCAUUGUAACUCAACGGCUUUUCUGUUCCCCAGUUCGCCAGAACAGUUAUGCACAGCAUCCAAUAGACUAGGCCUUCACGAAUUUGACUUUAUUGUUUGGCAAUUUGAAUAGCAGCUGCUUUAAAAUUACAGACAGAUAUGACAGACAGAAAGAUGAAAGGAUGUAUAGGCGUAUGGCUAGACCAACACAUAGGCAUGAUAUAUAUGAAGCCCUAUUUGUUUAGCCUAAAGUUGGUUAACCCAAUAAACUAUUAUAUAAUAGAAAACAAUUGUCAAGUGGAAUUGAUGAUUGAUAGGCCUAUUGAUUGAUGACAAUGACAAGUCUUUGGUAUUAUAAUGAGUUGUAACUGUUGGUUCUACGUCGAUGGUCUCCACAUACAGCCUCCGGGGCUUGUAAAAGGUAACUUUGGCCCUCUGACCUCGCUCUAGGAAUUCCAUCCUCUCCCCGUUACUAAAUCUUUCUCCUUCACAGGCUCUACCUUUGCUUCACAACGUUAUAAACUGUUUGCCUUUUAUGCAAGGCCUAGUAACCGAGGCAUUUUAUUGUCACCACGUGGGACCAGGGUUCAAGCAACAGCCGUCCGACAAGAGAGGUGAAGGGGCUAGAGGAAGGAUAACUCUUACUGACUUGAUGAAACUUUCAACAGUUUAGGCCUACUUUUCUGUUUAGCCUAAUAUUGUGACGAACGAAAAAUGUAGCCUGUUGCGGUGUGUUUUCAGAAUAAUUGUCUCAUGAU
ensembl:lncRNA